rnacentral:misc_RNA from 1 species
GAUGAAGAACGCAGCGAAAUGCGAUAAGUAAUGUGAAUUGCAGAAUUCAGUGAAUCAUCGAAUCUUUGAACGCACAUUGCGCCCGCCAGUAUUCUGGCGGGCAUGCCUGUCCGAGCGUCAUUUCAACCCUCGAACCCCUCCGGGGGGUCGGCGUUGGGGAUCGGCCCUGCCUUUGGCGGUGGCCGUCUCCGAAAUACAGUGGCGGUCUCGCCGCAGCCUCUCCUGCGCAGUAGUUUGCACACUCGCAUCGGGAGCGCGGCGCGUCCACAGCCGUUAAACACCCAACUUCUGAAAUGUUGACCUCGGAUCAGGUAGGAAUACCCGCUGAACUUAAGCAUAUCAUAAGCGGAGGA